AAAAAAAAGAGAGAGAGAGAGAUGAACAGAGGUGGGUCGCGACCCGCGCACGACCCGUCGGGUCGCGACCCACCUCUGUUCAUCCUUUUUUUUUUCCUUUUUUCU
rnacentral:pre_miRNA from 1 species